rnacentral:rRNA from 1 species
UACGGGGGGGGCAAGCGUUGUUCGGAAUUACUGGGCGUAAAGGGUUCGUAGGUGGCUUUCUAAGUCAGACGUGAAAUCCCUCAGCUUAACUGGGGAACUGCGUCUGAGACUGGUGAGCUUGAGUGCAGGAGAGGAACGCGGAAUUCCAGGUGUAGCGGUGAAAUGCGUAGAUAUCUGGAGGAACACCGGUGGCGAAGGCGGCGUUCUGGACUGCUACUGACACUGAGGAACGAAAGCCAGGGGAGCAAACGGG